UACGGAAGGCAGCAGUGGGGAAUAUUGCACAAUGGGCGAAAGCCUGAUGCAGCUAUGCCGCGUGUAUGAAGAAGGCCUUAGGGUUGUAAAGUACUUUCAUCGGGGAGGAAAAACAAAACUAAUAAUUUUAUUUCUUGACGUUACCCGAAAAAGAAGCACCGGCUAACUCCGUGCCAGCAGCCGCGGUAAUACGGAGGGUGCUAGCGUUAAUCAGAAUUACUGGGCGUAAAGAGCACGUAGGUGGUUUUUUUAAGUCAGAUGUGAAAUCCCUGGGCUUAACCUGGAACUGCAUUUUGAAACUGAAAUACUAGAGUAUCGUAGAGGGAGGUAGAAUUCUAGGUGUAGCGGUGAAAUGCGUAGAUAUCUGGAGGAAUACCUGUGGCGAAAGCGGCCUCCUAAACGAAUACUGACACUGAGGUGCGAAAGCGUGGGGGCAAACAGGGAUUAGAUACC
rnacentral:rRNA from 1 species